rnacentral:lncRNA from 1 species
UUUGGAGAGUUCGACUUCUCAUUAUCUUCUUCGAAACAAACCGACACACAAUUCCAGUAUAAACCAUUCCAAACCCCACCAUCGUUCGAAGUUGUUUCGUUGUUCCGUCGCACCGCUUCAACGCUCUUACAAACCACCGUCGCACUUUGCCGUAGCCGCCCUCCGUCUUUGGUCUAACUCCAUCGUCACGCUACUCCGCCGUGUUCAGGCCGCAACCAUCGCUACUGUUUGACGCGUUUUCUUUUGAUCAUCCGAAGUUUUAGCUGUUGUUGGUUCGGUCAGAUCCGUUACGCGAUUAAGUUAGUUAUUAUGACCGAUGUAGUAGUUCUUAUCAUUAAAAUAAAGGUUCUUGAUUUUCGGGGUCAACUUGAUUAUUGGUUUUUGCUUGUGUGCUAA